rnacentral:rRNA from 1 species
AACCUCCGCAAUGUGAGAAAUCGCGACGGGGGGAUCCCAAGUGCCAUUCUUAACGGGAUGGCUUUUCAUUAGUGUAAAAAGCUUUUGGAAUAAGAGCUGGGCAAGACCGGUGCCAGCCGCCGCGGUAACACCGGCAGCUCUAGUGGUAGCAAUUUUUAUUGGGCCUAAAGCGUCCGUAGCCGGUUUAAUAAGUCUCUGGUGAAAUCCUGUAGCUUAACUGUGGGAAUUGCUGGAGAUACUAUUAGACUUGAGACCGGGAGAGGUUAGAGGUACUCCCAGGGUAGAGGUGAAAUUCUGUAAUCCUGGGAGGACCGCCUGUUGCGAAGGCGUCUAACUGGAACGGUUCUGACGGUGAGGGACGAAAGUUAGGGGCGCGAACCGGAUUAGAUACCCGGGUAGUCCUAACUGUAAACGAUGCGGACUUGGUGUUGGGUUGGCUUUGAGCUGCUCCAGUGCGAAAGGGAAGCUGUUAAGUCCGCCGCCUGGGAAGUACGGUCGGAAGACUGAAACUUAAAGGAAUU